ensembl:misc_RNA Metazoa_SRP Metazoan signal recognition particle RNA
GCCGGGCGCGAUGGCUCACGCCUGUAAUCCCAGCAAUUUGGGAGGCCGAGGCGGGUGGUUCAUCUGAGGCCGGGAGUUCGAGACCAGCCUGGCUAACAUGGUGAAAGCCCGUUUCUA